rnacentral:rRNA from 1 species
UACAGAGGUCCCAAGCGUUGUUCGGAUUCACUGGGCGUAAAGGGUGCGUAGGUGGCUUGGAAAGUUUGAUGUGAAAGCUCAGGGCUCAACCCUGAAAUGGCAUUGAAUACUAUCGAGCUGGAGGUUUGGAGGGGGGACUGGAAUUCUUGGUGUAGCAGUGAAAUGCGUAGAUAUCAAGAGGAACACCAGUGGCGAAGGCGAGUCCCUGGACAACACCUGACACUGAGGCACGAAAGCCGGGGGAGCAAACAGG